AUUCUACUCCCUCCGUUCCAAAACUCUUUUCUUAGAUCUGUCGAGAUAUGAAUGUAUCUAGUCACGUUUUAGUAUUUAUAUACAUCUAUUUUUAGGCAAACUUGAGGCAAGAAUUUUCGGAUGGAGCGUGUACAUA
rfam:Hordeum vulgare subsp. vulgare, WGS project CAJW01000000 data, contig: morex_contig_1558709